rnacentral:lncRNA from 1 species
GGUUGUAUGUGCUGUGGCCGCGUGGUCCGAGGGAGCAGGAACCUGGGGGCCGUGGAGGGAGGGCGUGGCCCGGCCGGAGGGGAAGGCGCUGGCUCUCCUGAUCCUCGCCUGUCCAGUCUCCAUCCGUGGGCCUCAGGUUUCCCACGCAGAACGAGAGAAAGAGAUUGGGUACCCCGGAUUAAGGGUACUCGAUCUUUGAGCCCAGAAUCUUCUCUCUUCUGCAGCUCCUGGACAGACUGGCGUUGCCCAGCCCCAUGGACGCCUCCCCUGGCCCGUGGAAUCCAGCCCCGGCUUCCAUCGGCCCUUCCUUGCAACUUCCCACCCCUGCUAUCGUCUUCAUCGCGGUGGGCAUCUAUUUGUUGCUGCUGGGCCUAGUGCUGCUGACUAGGCACUGUCUGCUGGCCCAGGGCUGCUGCACAGACUGCAGCUCCCCUUGCAGGAAACAAGGUGCCUCCGAGACCCAAGACUGUUGCUGGAGCUGUGCAGAAGCCUGUGACUUCCCUCUGCCCAGUCCCACCCACUGCCUGGAUGCCUGCUGUCCUCAUCU